GGGCCCGCACAAGCGGUGGAGCAUGUGGUUUAAUUCGAUGAUACGCGAGGAACCUUACCAGGGCUUAAAUGUAGUAUGACCGGUCUAGAAAUAGGCCUUCCCUUCGGGGCAGAUUACAAGGUGCUGCAUGGUUGUCGUCAGCUCGUGCCGUGAGGUGUUAGGUUAAGUCCUGCAACGAGCGCAACCCCUAUUCUUAGUUGCCAGCGGUUCGGCCGGGGACUCUAAGAAGACUGCCAGCGCAAGCUGAGAGGAAGGUGGGGAUGACGUCAAAUCAUCACGGCCCUUACGUCCUGGGCUACACACGUGCUACAAUGGUACAGACAGAGGGCAGCCACCUGGCGACAGGGAGCG
rnacentral:rRNA from 1 species